CACGUAGGGCGCAAGCGUUGUCCGGAAUUAUUGGGCGUAAAGAGCUCGUAGGCGGUUUGUCGCGUCGGCCGUGAAAUCUCCACGCUUAACGUGGAGCGUGCGGUCGAUACGGGCAGACUUGAGUUCGGUAGGGGAGACUGGAAUUCCUGGUGUAGCGGUGAAAUGCGCAGAUAUCAGGAGGAACACCGGUGGCGAAGGCGGGUCUCUGGGCCGAUACUGACGCUGAGGAGCGAAAGCGUGGGGAGCGAACAGG
rnacentral:rRNA from 1 species